GGAGGAGUGUCCGAGUGGUUUAAGGAGGCGGUCUUGAAAACCGCUAGGCCGCAAGGCCUCGUGGGUUCGAAUCCUACCUCCUCCGCCA
rnacentral:tRNA from 1 species